rnacentral:rRNA from 1 species
CUUAAAUUGAAGAGUUUGAUCAUGGCUCAGAUUGAACGCUGGCGGCAGGCCUAACACAUGCAAGUCGAGCGGAAACGAGUUAUCUGAACCUUCGGGGAACGAUAGCGGCGUCGAGCGGCGGACGGGUGAGUAAUGCCUAGG